rnacentral:tRNA from 1 species
AAGUUUAUUAUAUUUUUUAGUAUUUUUUAUUGUUAAUAAGAAGGUUAUACUUA